GACAGAGGGUGCGAACGUUGUUCGGAAUUACUGGGCGUAAAGCGCGUGUAGGCGGCAGCGCAAGUCGGGCGUGAAAUCCCACGGCUCAACCGUGGAAGUGCACUCGAAACUGCGCAGCUAGAGUCCUGGAGAGGAAGGUGGAAUGCUUGGUGUAGAGGUGAAAUUCGUAGAUAUCAAGCGGAACACCGGUGGCGAAGGCGGCCUUCUGGACCGGUACUGACGCUGAUGCGCGAAAGCGUGGGGAGCAAACGGG
rnacentral:rRNA from 1 species